UCUGGGGAUCUGCCCGAUAGAGGGGGAUAACCACUGGAAACGGUGGCUAAUACCGCAUAACGUCGCAAGACCAAAGAGGGGGACCUUCGGGCCUCUCACUAUCGGAUGAACCCAGAUGGGAUUAGCUAGUAGGCGGGGUAACGGCCCACCUAGGCGACGAUCCCUAGCUGGUCUGAGAGGAUGACCAGCCACACUGGAACUGAGACACGGUCCAGACUCCUACGGGAGGCAGCAGUGGGGAAUAUUGCACAAUGGGCGCAAGCCUGAUGCAGCCAUGCCGCGUGUAUGAAGAAGGCCUUCGGGUUGUAAAGUACUUUCAGCGGGGAGGAAGGCAGUGAGGUUAAUAACCUUACUGAUUGACGUUACCCGCAGAAGAAGCACCGGCUAACUCCGUGCCAGCAGCCGCGGUAAUACGGAGGGUGCAAGCGUUAAUCGGAAUUACUGGGCGUAAAGCGCACGCAGGCGGUCUGUUAAGUCAGAUGUGAAAUCCCCGGGCUUAACCUGGGAACUGCAUUUGAAACUGGCAGGCUUGAGUCUCGUAGAGGGGGGUAGAAUUCCAGGUGUAGCGGUGAAAUGCGUAGAGAUCUGGAGGAAUACCGGUGGC
rnacentral:rRNA from 1 species